CUACGUGCCAGCAGCCSCGGUAAUACGUAGGGUGCGAGCGUUAAUCGGAAUUACUGGGCGUAAAGCGAGCGCAGACGGUUACUUAAGCAGGAUGUGAAAUCCCCGGGCUCAACCUGGGAACUGCGUUCUGAACUGGGUAGCUAGAGUAUGUCAGAGGGGGGUAGAAUUCCACGUGUAGCAGUGAAAUGCGUAGAGAUGUGGAGGAAUACCGAUGGCGAAGGCAGCCCCCUGGGAUAAUACUGACGUUCAUGCUCGAAAGCGUGGGUAGCAAACAGGAUUAGAUACCCUGGUAGUCCACGCCCUAAACGAUGUCGAUUAGCUGUUGGGCAGCUUGACUGCUUAGUAGCGUAGCUAACGCGUGAAAUUGACCGCCUGGGGAGUACGGUCGCAAGAUUAAAACUCAAAGGAAUUGACGGGGACCCGCACAAGCGGUGGAUGAUGUGGAUUAAUUCGAUGCAACGCGAAGAACCUUACC
rnacentral:rRNA from 1 species